GUGGGGAAUUUUGGACAAUGGGCGCAAGCCUGAUCCAGCAAUGCCGCGUGAGUGAAGAAGGCCUUCGGGUUGUAAAGCUCUUUUGUCAGGGAAGAAACGGCUGCGGCUAAUAUCUGCGGCUAAUGACGGUACCUGAAGAAUAAGCACCGGCUAACUACGUGCCAGCAGCCGCGGUAAUACGUAGGGUGCAAGCGUUAAUCGGAAUUACUGGGCGUAAAGCGUGCGCAGGCGGUUUUGUAAGUCUGUCGUGAAAGCCCCGGGCUCAACCUGGGAAUUGCGAUGGAGACUGCAAGGCUUGAAUCUGGCAGAGGGGGGUAGAAUUCCACGUGUAGCAGUGAAAUGCGUAGAGAUGUGGAGGAACACCGAUGGCGAAGGCAGCCCCCUGGGUCAAGAUUGACGCUCAUGCACGAAAGCGUGGGGAGCAAACAGGAUUAGAUACCCGGGUAGUCC
rnacentral:rRNA from 1 species